rnacentral:rRNA from 1 species
CCUACGGGAGGCAGCAGUGGGGAAUAUUGCGCAAUGGGCGAAAGCCUGACGCAGCGACGCCGCGUGAGGGAUGAAGGUCUUCGGAUCGUAAACCUCUGUCAGCAGGGAAGAACGGUCACUGUGCUAAUCAGCAGUGAAUUGACGGUACCUGCAAAGGAAGCACCGGCUAACUCCGUGCCAGCAGCCGCGGUAAUACGGAUGGUGCGAGCGUUAAUCGGAAUUACUGGGCGUAAAGCGCUCGUAGGCGGUAUGUCAAGUCAAGGGUGAAAUCCCCGCGCUCAACGUGGGAACUGCCGUUGAAACUGGCAAACUGGGGUGUGUGAGAGGAGAGUGGAAUUCCAGGUGUAGGAGUGAAAUCCGUAGAUAUCGGGAGGAACAUCAGUGGCGAAGGCGACUAUCUGGCACAUAACUGACGCUGAGGAGCGAAAGCGUGGGUAGCAAACAGGAUUAGAUACCCGUGUAGUC